rnacentral:rRNA from 1 species
AUGAUCAGGUUGAUAGGUCUGAGGUGGAAGUGUGGCGACACAUGGAGCUGACAGAUACUAAUCGAUCGAGGACUUAACCUAA